GAUGAACGCUGGCGGCGUGCCUAAUACAUGCAAGUCGAGCGAACGGACGAGAAGCUUGCUUCUCUGAUGUUAGCGGCGGACGGGUGAGUAACACGUGGAUAACCUACCCAUAAGACUGGGAUAACUUCGGGAAACCGGAGCUAAUACCGGAUAAUAUUUUGAACCGCAUGGUUCAAAAGUAAAAGACGGUCUUGCUGUCACUUAUAGAUGGAUCCGCGCUGCAUUAGCUAGUUGGUAAGGUAACGGCUUACCAAGGCAACGAUGCAUAGCCGACCUGAGAGGGUGAUCGGCCACACUGGAACUGAGACACGGUCCAGACUCCUACGGGAGGCAGCAGUAGGGAAUCUUCCGCAAUGGGCGAAAGCCUGACGGAGCAACGCCGCGUGAGUGAUGAAGGUCUUCGGAUCGUAAAACUCUGUUAUUAGGGAAGAAUAUAUGUGUAAGUAACUGUGCACAUCUUGACGGUACCUAAUCAGAAAGCCACGGCUAACUACGUGCCAGCAGCCGCGGUAAUACGUAGGUGGCAAGCGUUAUCCGGAAUUAUUGGGCGUAAAGCGCGCGUAGGCGGUUUUUUAGUCUGAUGUGAAAGCCCACGGCUCAACCGUGGAGGGUCAUUGGAAACUGGAAAACUUGAGUGCAGAAGAGGAAAGUGGAAUUCCAUGUGUAGCGGUGAAAUGCGCAGAGAUAUGGAGGAACACCAGUGGCGAAGGCGACUUUCUGGUCUGUAACUGACGCUGAUGUGCGAAAGCGUGGGGAUCAAACAGGAUUAGAUACCCUGGUAGUCCACGCCGUAAACGAUGAGUGCUAAGUGUUAGGGGGUUUCCGCCCCUUAGUGCUGCAGCUAACGCAUUAAGCACUCCGCCUGGGGAGUACGACCGCAAGGUUGAAACUCAAAGGAAUUGACGGGGACCCGCACAAGCGGUGGAGCAUGUGGUUUAAUUCGAAGCAACGCGAAGAACCUUACCAAAUCUUGACAUCCUUUGACAACUCUAGAGAUAGAGCCUUCCCCUUCGGGGGACAAAGUGACAGGUGGUGCAUGGUUGUCGUCAGCUCGUGUCGUGAGAUGUUGGGUUAAGUCCCGCAACGAGCGCAACCCUUAAGCUUAGUUGCCAUCAUUAAGUUGGGCACUCUAAGUUGACUGCCGGUGACAAACCGGAGGAAGGUGGGGAUGACGUCAAAUCAUCAUGCCCCUUAUGAUUUGGGCUACACACGUGCUACAAUGGACAAUACAAAGGGCAGCGAAACCGCGAGGUCAAGCAAAUCCCAUAAAGUUGUUCUCAGUUCGGAUUGUAGUCUGCAACUCGACUACAUGAAGCUGGAAUCGCUAGUAAUCGUAGAUCAGCAUGCUACGGUGAAUACGUUCCCGGGUCU
rnacentral:rRNA from 1 species